rnacentral:lncRNA from 1 species
GGCUCUGCAAAGCUCUAAGGGAGUUUUGCUUACAGCUCCAUCUUUAUUGCUGUGUGACCUUGAGCGCAUUCCUUUACUUCUCUGGUCUCCAGUCUCCUCUGCAGCAUGACACAGUGUGAUGAAACAAAUGUUUGUCUCUCAAGUUCAAUGUUGAAGCCCUAACCCAGAAUGAGAAGGUAUUUGGAGUGGACCUUUUGGAGGUUGCAUGUAGUGAAAGCAGGGAAGUACUUGUAUGGAAGGACUGCGUAAAUGGAGUCCUUAGUCAACGUUGUAGCCGAGAACUCCACGCAGGACAAGACAGAGACUUCCUUGUCAUUUGGUGCUUCUGUCAUGUGUCCACUGUCGUGUCAUCAGCUUCUCAAAGGAUGCCUGGGGUCUGUGGAGAAGUCCCUUAGGGAAGUCUUCAUUCUGAAGAACUAAAACGUCCCCGGAUUCUUCUUCUUGCCUUUGAUUGCUUUGCAGAACUUUGCUGUUGUACAAGGAAUAUUUAUAUGCUGGAUCAUCUUCAAUAUGGCAGAGACUAUAGCAAAUCGAGUGAUAGAAAUAUGAAUAAUAUAAGCAUAUGAUGCCUGCUCUCGAAAAGCUCUUGCUCUUAUGGGAUAAGAUGCAAUAAUCUACAGCACACAUCAUGGUCCUUUGCUCAAUCAGGACCCUAAGGAGAUCAUCAAGUGACCUCAGCCAGAUGUCCUAACAACAGAAUUGUUUACAGUCUAUGCAGAUAUGAGAUUAUGAAGAUGGAUGAAGGACCUGUAGGGUCUCUUCGCAUGGAUAAGGAAGAGCCAUGCCGAGGACCUCCUAAUCUACAAAGUACAGUCACAACCACUGCCUCUGUUGGCAUUCAACAUUUCGGUGGAAUUGAUAGACCUGGCCGUUUUAUUGCAUUCGUAACUUACAGAGGAGAAACUGAAACUCAGGGUAGUUUAAAUGACUUAGUUGCUGUUGAAGAUAGCACUCCAGAAUGGAGAGAGCAAAUCAGAGUUACAGGAAGCUCAGGAUGGGCACAGAGAGGCUCUGGAUGAUGCCAGUGGCAGGGAGUGGGGGGUGCAGGAACUGGAGGGUGCAACGCACCUUUCCUCUUGGUUACCCUUGAGGCACUGGCCCCUCCCACAUGUUGUUUUCCCACCUGCUCCGUACAGAUGUGCUGCCAUCCCAUUUCCUUUUUUCCUUUUUUAAAAAAAUUAAUUGAAAUAUAUUUUUUGCUGUUCCCU